rnacentral:lncRNA from 1 species
UAUUAUCAUUAAAGGAACCAGGAUAAUACCCUGCUCUAUUGAAGAACUAUGGCUAGAGUUCUUUCCCUCAAGUGAGUUUUGGACCAGAAUCUCUCUGUCCCAUCUCAUCAGAACACCCACUUGACUGCCUAAUCACUUCACAGAGCUGACAUCAGGGUUAUUUUGUUGCUUCCACUGACCAAGCUCCAGCAGGAAGCACAUAAGCCAGGGAAGAUGUUAGAGGAUACGAUACAUGAGGUGUGUGGUGCUGAUCAACCAAUAAUUUUGCAGAAUAACAAAACCAACCUCUCUUA